UACUAGAGUAGCACUCGCAUAUCAAUAAGCGGAGGAAAAGAAACUAACAAGGAUUCCCCUAGUAACGGCGAGUGAAGCGGGAAGAGCUCAAAUUUGAAAUCUUAAAGGGUUUCCCUUUACGAAUUGUAGUUUAAAGAAGUGUUUUCUGUUGAGGUUUUGGUAAAAGUUCUUUGGAAUAGGACAUCAUAGAGGGUGAGAAUCCCGUAUUUGACCUUUACUUUCAACUUUGUGAUACACUUUCAAAGAGUCGGAUUGUUUGGGAAUGCAGUCCAAAAUGGGUGGUAAAUUUCAUCUAAAGCUAAAUAUUGGCGAGAGACCGAUAGCGAACAAGUACCGUGAGGGAAAGAUGAAAAGAACUUUGAAAAGAGAGUUAAACAGUACGUGAAAUUGUCAAAAGGGAAGCGUUUGACACCAGUGUUGUUUUUCUGAAAAUCAAUUAAAGAACUGUUUAUGCUAAGCUGUUUAGACUUUAUCAGCUAAUCUGUUUAGUUUUAGGCUUUUCUUUAAUGCACUUUUCAGUUAACAAGUCAACAUCAAUUUCUUUUGCUGUAAAAAAGCUUGAGGAAGGUGGCUUGAGAUUCGUCUUAAGUGUUUAUAGCCUCUUGCCUAUGCAGUCGGAGAGAUUGAGGUCUGCAGCGUAGAUCCUUCGGGGCUAAAUGCAUUUGUGCUAAGUUAUAGCAUUUUAUAGACAACUUGUUGACUAUGAUUUGUCUUGUAGCUUACUCGCUUAUGUUAUUUUACCUACGCUUAGGAUGUUGAACUACUGAGACAUAGA
rnacentral:rRNA from 1 species